CGGGGGAGGCCGGAUCCUGGGCUGUGUCCCGGCGCCCUGUGCUCCGGGGCCUGCGCUGUUGGAUUCACGCUCCCGCCCCACAGCCCCCU
rnacentral:pre_miRNA from 1 species